CAAUAGCGUAUAUUAAAGUUGUUGCGGUUAAAAAGCUCGUAGUUGGAUUUCGGGUGGGACGCAGCGGUCUCGCAUUGCGUUUGUACUGCUGCAGCCCUCCUUCUUGCCGGGGGCGGCCUCUCGGACUUCACUGUCUGGGGGUCAGAAUCGGCGAUGUUACUUUGAGUAAAUUAGAGUGUUCAAAGCAAGCUUACGCUCUGAAUAUAAUAGCAUGGGAUAACACGACAGGACUCUGGCCUAUCGUGUUGGUCUAUAGGACCAGAGUAAUGAUUAAGAGGGACAGUCGGGGGCAUUCGUAUUCCGUUGUCAGAGGUGAAAUUCUUGGAUUUACGGAAGACGAACAUCUGCGAAAGCAUUUGCCAAGGAUGUUUUCAUUGA
rnacentral:rRNA from 1 species